GUUGAUGUAGCUUAACAAUAAAGCAAAGCACUGAAAAUGCUUAGAUGGAUUUCUUAAUCCCAUAAACA
rnacentral:tRNA from 1 species